rnacentral:misc_RNA from 1 species
GAUGAAGAACGUAGCGAAAUGCGAUAAGUAAUGUGAAUUGCAGAAUUCAGUGAAUCAUCGAAUCUUUGAACGCACAUUGCGCCCGCCAGUAUUCUGGCGGGCAUGCCUGUUCGAGCGUCAUUUCAACCAUCAAGCCCCCGGCUUGUGUUGGGGACCUGCGGCUGCCGCAGGCCCUGAAAACCAGUGGCGGGCUCGCUGUCACACCGAGCGUAGUAGAUUUUCAUCUCGCUCAGGGCGUGCUGUGGGUUCCGGCCGUAAAAAGCCUUAUUUACCCAAGGUUGACCUCGGAUCAGGUAGGAAGACCCGCUGAACUUAAGCAUAUCAAUAAGCGGAGGA